GGGUGAUUAGCUCAGCUGGGAGAGCACCUCCUUACAAGGAGGGGGUCGGCGGUUCGAUCCCGUCAUCACCCACCA
rnacentral:tRNA from 3 species